GGGGAUUUGGUCUAGGGGUAUGAUGUUCCUUUCGCAUUCUCUGUGCAUAGGAAAGGUCGGGCGUUCGAAUCGCCCAUUCUCCA